ACAGUUAAAUAUAGCUUAUCUCAAAUGUAUAAAUACUGUUGGAAGCUCGAACAUGAUUUGGCAAAUUGACAACAACAGUAAAAAAAUAGAAACGAAAUACUCACUGGAAACCGUAAGAUCAAAUUAUUAACUUCCUGAACGGCUACUGUUGAAAUUUCACCAACUUUAAUCUAACGAACAUGGAAAUCCUGAGCCAGAGCCAGUACAUACGUUGGCGGGAGGCGUCUAGCGCGGUGGGCGCGUGCGCCGCCUGACGCCUACUGCCAUCUGCCUUACUGCCGUCAUGUAUUUUGGUCGCGACCCCAAUAUCGGCCGUCCCGUCUACAAUUUGUCUUUACUAAAUAGCUACAACAAUGCAUAUUUAGCUCGAAAUUCUUUUUUAUUAUAUUUAUCAUACAUUGAUCUGUACUUUAAAAGCACAUUUCAUUUUCUAAUAAUGACUUUAUCUAUGUAAUCGUAAAUUUGCCUUUCUAUACAAAUAAAAUAGGUGUAGACGGUUGGUGCAAUAUGUUUUUUAUAUUUUUUAAAUAAUAAAAAAAAUAUAUAUUUAUAAACAUACACGAUAGUAAAAUAGUUUCAGUCUAAAAUAUAUAUUUUAUAAGCACAACAUAUAUUCUAUAACUUUAUUGGCUCUAUUCCAAACAAUAAGAAUUUUGCACAAUAAGACACAAGAUUCUUAAAUAUGUUAAUUGUGGAAACGAUUGUUUAUUCUCUCGAUAUGCAUGCGACACGCUUAACUCUUUAUGUAUUGUAAUAUGCAAAUAUUUAUUGAAUAAAUAAUAAGAAAACUAA